rnacentral:misc_RNA from 1 species
UGGUUCUCGCAUCGAUGAAGAACGCAGCGAAAUGCGAUAAGUAAUGUGAAUUGCAGAAUUUAGUGAAUCAUCGAAUCUUUGAACGCACAUUGCGCCCCUUGGUAUUCCGGGGGGCAUGCCUGUUCGAGCGUCAUUUCAACCCUCAAGCUCUGCUUGGUAUUGAGUCCUUGCCAGCAAUGGCAGGCUCCAAAAACAGUGGCGGUGCCGCUGGGUCCUGAGCGUAGUAAUACUUCUCGCUUUUGGUUCCCCGCGGUGCUCCUGCCAGAACCCCAUACUUCUUAAGGUUGACCUCGGAUCAGGUAGGGAUACCCGCUGA